rnacentral:tRNA from 1 species
GAGGUUGUGGCUCAGUGGUAGAGCACUCGCCUAGUGCGAGGCACUGGGUUCGAUCCUCAGCACCACA